GACGAACGCUGGCGGCGUGCCUAAUACAUGCAAGUAGAACGCUGAAGGAGGAGCUUGCUCUUCUGGAUGAGUUGCGAACGGGUGAGUAACGCGUAGGUAACCUGCCUGGUAGCGGGGGAUAACUAUUGGAAACGAUAGCUAAUACCGCAUAAUAGUAGAUGUUGCAUGAUAUUUACUUAAAAGGUGCAAUUGCACCACUACCAGAUGGACCUGCGUUGUAUUAGCUAGUUGGUGGGGUAACGGCUCACCAAGGCGACGAUACAUAGCCGACCUGAGAGGGUGAUCGGCCACACUGGGACUGAGACACGGCCCAGACUCCUACGGGAGGCAGCAGUAGGGAAUCUUCGGCAAUGGACGAAAGUCUGACCGAGCAACGCCGCGUGAGUGAAGAAGGUUGUCGGAUCGUAAAGCUCUGUUGUAAGAGAAGAACGAGUGUGAGAGUGGAAAGUUCACACUGUGACGGUAUCUUACCAGAAAGAGACGGCUAACUACGUG
rnacentral:rRNA from 1 species